CAAAUUCAAUGAAUGUGGUGACCGUUCGGCUUUUCCUAAUUGCCCAAGCAUAUGAUAAAUUAUGCCCUAAGCUUCCCUGUGACAGCAGAGGGAUAGAGUAGCAAGAGAUUGACCCCUUCAUGACCCAAUGUAAGCUUGGCUUCCCUUGCUGCCCUUUCACCCACUUCAUCUUCAACCUCUGUGAUCAAUGGGGCUUUUAUGUCAAUAUUCUUCAUCAUAUGCCAAAUCCAAACAAUUGGAUUAAAGUAUAGGAAUUUGCAAAUGGGUUUGUUGCGUUGAAGAUGAAGAAGCAACUCUGAUCAGAAAAUGGAGCCAUGGAGGGCUUUAAGUUCCCAUGGUGGCUCUUUCUGCAAGCAAUAAAUGAGAGUUUCUGCAGUUUGCUCACUCUUGCCCGUGCACACCGGAGAGGUCCUUCUUUGGAUUAUUGAGAUGGAGUUCAAGUGCUUGUGCAGGGAUCUCAAAGAUGAUGAACACAUUAAAGAAUCUCAUAGGCAAAGUCAAGAAAUAAUUCCUAUUGUUCAAGUGUAUCUUGACAUGUACUCAAUCGGAUACUUCUUGCUUCUUAGUGCAUCUCGGUGCUGCUUUUAUCUGUGGAAGUAUUUUGUGCCUAACAAUCAGAAAAGUUCCUGUUGAGCAAUACAAGAGUUGAUGCAAAUAACAAGGAACUGUCAGUUCAGAGGAUGCGAGAUUCCUCUUGCACAAAAACUUUUGUUUCCCAUAUAUGAUACGAAGCCACUCAAUAUUACUGUGAGAAAUGAGAUUUCCCUAACGGCAUUUACAGAAGCUCGUCAAUGAUAAUGGAGAUGGUGAAAGCACUGCAACCUCUUCUGCAGAACUAGGGUCACAAGCCAACAGCAGAAUCUGAAGUAACGCAGUAGUUAACACCUGUGAGGGUGCUUCAUAGAGAUCCUACGUUCUCUUAUCACUACUGAAAGAGAGUUCCCCUUGGCAACUUCAAAAUCUGUCUCUUAGAAUUUCUUGUAAGGAGAUAGUGAAACUAUAUUUUAUUUUAGCAUUAAGUCAGAGAAUAUUUCUUUCUGUUAAAGUAGUAGUGCUGAUGAGUUUUUCCUCGUUUCACUUUAAAGAAGAAUGUAAUAGACUCAAGUUUAUGUGAUUGAACUAUAUGCGUUUAAUUUGAUCCGUCCAUAUGACGAGAAAAUUUGCUUAA